CGCAGAAGGCGCUCUCCGCCGUGCACACGUGCGCCCCCACCAGCCCCCGGGCCUCCACGGUCCCCGCCGCCUCCGCCGCCAGCACCAGAUCCAGGUGGAUGGGGGAUAGCAGCCUGAGAUGGCCACCAGCUUUUCGCCGCCGGACGUCGGAGUUGGGAUGGUGGAGAAUGCGGGCCUGAUUCGGCCGGUCUCUAAGAGUGAGGUGAUGGGGGCUCUUUGAGCCUUAGCAGAGGACAAAGGCCCGAGUCUAGAUGGUUUCCUCCUUUUUUUUAAGGAGGUAUUGGUGCAUCACUUAGAGGAUAGUAAUAGAGGCAGUGCAACCAUUUUUCAGCACGGUGUCGAUGGCAUAUUCCUGGAAGGCAACCUACGUCGCUCUUAUUCCGAAGCGCUAGGAUGCGAUGGAGCUUAGCCAUUUUGGGUCGAUCAGUUUUUGCACUACUCUUUACAAAAUAGUGGCAAAGAUUAUGGUGGACGGGAUGAAGUUGUUGCUGUUGAGCUCAUCAGCCAGGAGCAGGAGGCGUUUGUGGGGAGUCGCCGUAUUAACAACGUCCUAAUUGCCUAUGAGGUGAUGUGAGAUCUACAGCGUGCCCCGAGGCGACAGAGCUACAUGGCAGUAAAGCUGGAUAUGGAGAGAGCCUCCAAUAGAGUCUACUGAGACUUCCUCAGGUUUGUGCUGGAGAGCUUUGGCCUCCACGAGAUUUGGAUUGGUUGAGUUCUUGGCUGUGUAUAGAGGUCGUCCUUCUCCAUCAUGAUCAAAGGGACGUCAUCGUCGUUCUUCCAUUCCACCAUUGAGCUACGUCAAGAUGACUGUCUUCUUCUAGUCAGGAUGAAGACAAAGGAUGAAUGCUUACGGGUAAAUCUUUGGUGUCCGACAAAUCUUCCAUCUCUUGUUUGCAAAAGAUCAUCAGGUCAGGGAGCAAACCUUUUUUAAGUCUAUAAUCUAUUUCAGUCCAAAGAUGUAGUUGCCAAUGAAGUAUGCUAUUAAGGGGCUCGGAGUUAGAGAUGCCGUGGAGUUAUAUGGGUGUCCCAUCGCUGAAAAGAGACUGCAAUGUGUCGGAGCCAAAAUAAAAAAAGGCAGCACCACUUGAAAUUAAACUUCCCGGACACCGCAAACCCGAGUCAUAUCAUCCAGGAGUCAUCAUGUGAAUGGGAAAUGGGAAUUUAUGCCAUUGUUUAGGUCGCUAGACGGUCACAUUUGAUUUGUUUUGAUGAGCUUGUACUUGCAUCAUGGAUCCUAUUAUUAUGACUCGGAACAAACAAUAAGGUUCCAA